UUUUUUUUGUUUUUUUUUGUUUUUUUUUUUUUAACUUCCCCUUUUUGCCUUUCCUAGGGACACUCCCUCGGCAUAUGGAGGUUCCCAGGCUAGGGGUCGAACUGGAGCUACUGCUGCUGGCCUAUGCCAGAACCACAACAAAGCGAGGACCCAAGCUGUGUCUGCAACCUACACCACAGUUCACGGCAACGCCAGAUCCUUAACCCACUGAGCAAGGCCAAGGAUUGAACCCUCAACCUCAUGGUUCCUAGUUGGAUUCGUUAACCACUGAGCCAUGACAGGAACUCAAGGGAGGGUGUUUUUGAAUGAGAUGAAUAUUCAAAUCUGUACAGAGAGUAAAGGGGAUUGUUCUCUGUAUAUCCAGUUGGAGGCAUGAAAAGAAUGAAAGGCACCUUCUCUUGCGCAAAAGGGAACUAACUCCUCUUGCCUGACUACCUUGAGCUGGGGCUUCAGUCUUUUCCUACCUUAAGUCUGAGUCUUGAUCUUGCCUGCUUUUAAACUGGAUUAUACUAUCAACUCUCCAGUACUCAGUCCUUCAGACUUGGAUAAAACAUAUACAAUUUUUUCUCCCGAGCCUCCGUGUGCUCACUACAAAUUUUAGGAGUUUUAAGCCUCCAUAGUUGCAUAAUUGUGUGAACCAAUUCCUUAUAAUAAAAAUCUGUUCUCUCUCUCUUUCUCUCUCUUUUUCUCCUGUCCUCCCUCCAUUUAUCUAUCUACUGAUCAACAGAAGCAGAGAGAGGAUGUUGUAACACAGUUUUGACACAUCUUUUGUACACACACAUACCUUAUUAGUUCUAUGUCUUUGGAGAACCCUGACUAAAAAGAGUCUUUGCCAAAGAACCUUAGAGUGAGCAACUCCAUGUGGGCAUUAUUGGUCCAUAUGGGAAUAAUGGCCUAUUAAAAGACUUCCUCUUAUCUUACUGAUUCUGUCCAUUAAAUAUUUCUUAAACAUAUUUUUUCCUUUUCGUUCCACUACUUUAUGGCCUUAAUGAUUUUUUUUGCUUUUACAAUCUAAAUCCCUGCUUAACAGGAGAUAGUGCUUUGAGAAAGAUCUCCAGCAUCCUCCUUACUUUCUGCAAGAAGUAAAUCCUUCCUUCUGCUCUUUGGCUUGGUUGUGUCUUUUGGCUUGACACUCACUAAAGAUGAACCCAGUUUUUGCAUAGACAAAUUUUGGUGACUCUGGUGGGAGCUCAUGCCUAAACUUUUUGAGUUCUCUCAGUUCCCAGCAGUGGGCUGCAGCAACUCACCUGGGAAAAUUUAUCUAUGUUGCUGGGGAAUUUUUGGAAAUGAGCAGAGGAGAACCCCUCUUUAUACCUGAUUUGUUGGGUGCAUAUUCCCCAACUUGAUGAAUGAGCUCAGCAGCUCAGAUAUCUGAUGAUGGCUCAGACGUCUUGAUCUGUAGAGUCCCUUCAGAGAGGUGAGUGACAUUUAUCCCACAAAUCAGCUUCAAGCUUCAGGGCUCUAUCUCCAUUUCAAGGGGGAAGAGGGAUAAUUUAGGAACUGUGGGGGGGGGGGGGGAAAUCCCUGCCAAACAAUUUCUUCAUUCAAUGUACCAGAAAGAUCUUUCAAUGUGCAAGUCUGAUAAUGUAUUUACAUUGCUUCAGAUCUUUCCAUUGUUUCUGGUAGUGUUUUCCUUCUAAAUCUAGGCUACACAGGUAUAUUUGCUUUGUGAAAAUUCAUUGAACUGUGGAUGCAUGCCUUGUGUACCUUUGUGUAUGUGUGAUUUAAACAAAAUGUUAUUUUUAAAAAUAUCCCCAUAUCCUCCCAGCGUCCCAGGAUUUAGUCAAACCCUUAGCUUGAUUUUUAAAGCCUUUGGUGAGUCUUGUCUUUCCAAAUUCCUGUUACUUCCCAAGUUUACCCACACCUCAUUACUUGUGUCCUACAGAUAAACUAUAUUUUUUUCUUAACUAUUCCUCUUUGCUUUGGAAUGCCCUUCCUUUUUUUUUUUUUUUUUUAAAUGGCUGAACCUGUGGCCAUGGAAGUUCCCAAGCUUGGGGUCAAAUCAAAACCUCAGCAGUUGGCCUACACCAUAGCCAUAGCAAUGCCAGAUCUGAACCAAAUUUGCGACCUAUGCCACAGGUUGUGGCAAUGCGGGACCUUAACUCAUUGAGCAAGGCCAGGGAUCAAACCCACAUUCUCACAGACACUAUGUUGGGUUCUAAACCUACUGAGCCACAAAGAGAACACCUGUCCACCCUCUUAACUAUUAUUCCUCCUUUAAGAAUAAACCCAGGUAGUGUCUCUGGGAAAAUUUUUAAUCUCUUAAGGCCAUUCUUCCUCGUUUGCCCAAGGUACAGUGCACACAUCUCUCUUUUUGUCUCACACACAUGCACUCAUCACAUUGGUAUACCUAUUUAUUUUUAUUUUUGACUCUUCCAUUAGAUGAUAAAUCCUUUUGUGGCCUGGAAUAUUUCAUACAUAUUUUUCUCCAGUAUCUAACAUUGUGUUUGGUAUAUAGUCUAUAGCCAUAAACAUGUUUUAAAUACAUGAAUGAUGGAGACAGAUUGAGGAAAUGUAAUAAACGAGCCAUGCUUUGAAAUAAAUUACAAUCUAGUUGAGUACAUGAAAUACAGACACAUUAAAAGUUAAAUGAAGGUAGGUUGCUGGCGCAGUUGCCGAGGGCGGCGUCACUGAGCCGCACCAGCGGAGCCGGGUGCAGCCCGGCUCCUCUCGCCUGCCUUCUCGGGGGCUCGCUUCUUCACCCUGCGUCCGUGGAGCCUUUUCCAUGUCCCCAGUGGACGCAGCCCUCCGCAGCCUCCAAGCCCAUGGCCACUAGCCUGAGGAGGCCCUCUUUCACCGCCUGUUCUUCCUCCCCUACGGACGCGGACGACGAGGGCGUGCGGGGCACUUGCGAAGAUGCUUCUCUGUGAUCUUUUGCUCGUGUCUACGGCGUCAGUCAGCUUAUGAAGGCGUUUCUACGGAAGACAGGAUGCAACUGUCAAAUUCUAAACCUUGGGGCUGGGAUGGAUACCACCUUCUGGAGGUUAUAGGAUGAGGAUCUUCUACCAAGUACAUCUUGGAAAGUCGACGUUGCAGGGAUCGUCUGGAGGAAGCUGCACAGCAUCAAAACCAUUGUGACCAGACAUCUACAUGGACAGCUGCAAGAACAAAGGAUUCUGCAACCAAGAAUUUGGCCACAACCAGCCACACCUUUACUCCUUUUAGUAGAAAGUCUUUGGGACCCUUGUUCACCGGCUUGGUCUGCUAGCUUUCUGAAUAAAGCUGCUAUUUCUU
rnacentral:lncRNA from 1 species